UUUUGGCUUAGUUAGGAGGCAAAAAUCAAUCAGAUCAUCAAUACUUUUCUGUAUUGCUUUUGAUCGUUUUGACUUCGGCUUUUUUUCUUGAGGAGGAGCUUUCUGUUUUCUUAAUUCAAGCUUCUUCCCAAAAAGCUUCAGACAUAA
rfam:Eutrema salsugineum unplaced genomic scaffold scaffold_3, whole genome shotgun sequence.